CCUUUUAGUGCCCAAAUACAUUUGGUCCAGUUACAGUUUUGGCCUUUUUUCAUUUUUGAAUUCAGCAACUUUUUGUUCCAAAACUUGGUUUCAUUUCUAUUUGUUGGGCCUUUUCAACCCAAUUAUUUCUCCAACAUUAAAUCCAACACUAUUUCAUAUUUAAAUCAAGAAAACUCCAAAUCGAAUUAAAAUCAUCCAUCAUAUAACAUCACAUAAUACAUUGCCCAGAUUAACAUAACACAAUAAAACAUCUCUUGAAGACAUUUCCUUACACAUGAAUAUAGCAAGGACGAACAUAAUUUCACAAUAGAACAAUGGCACAUCUGCUACUUCCCUACAGUACAAUGGACUUCAUUCCACUCUUCUAUGAGACAUGCUCGAGAUGAAGUUGUCAACCUACAAGAACAUUACACUGUACAUGAAUCAAUCAAAAGAAAAGAAAUAUAAAAAAAUAUUAGAAAUAAAAAGAUUUGUGUUCAGCCUGAAGACUAUGUUAAAAAUCCCGUGAUAUAAAUUCUGGAGUAUAAUUAGUCCAACCUAAACUAGUCACUGAGUCUGAAAAUUAAACUUCAAACUAGAUUGUUCCAGGAAAAUAUGGACAAAGAAAAUGGAGACAAGAAAAUUCAAUAUCUUUUUGGUAUUUUCGCUUUACUGGAGGAAUUUAAGCACUGACACAAGAAAGAGUCAAUGACACAAUAAUUAGCAGACAUGUAAGAUAAUACAAAACAAGCUACUCCACAUUACUGUGAUAACCAAGUGCAAACCAGGGUGUAAGAACAUUACCGUGAGAUUUGAUCUUAGAGAAAUACAUUUUAACAAGAAGAUUACCGUGAGCCUUGAUCUUAGAAAAUUACACUUUUAAUAAGAAUUCUAAGUUAACAACAAUAUUAUCCAAGUGUGCAGCAAAGUGUAAGAACAGUACCGUGAGAUACAAAAUUUAAAGUUGAGCAGAACUAAAAAUACAAAGAAACUAUAUGAUAUAAUCACAAUUAUAAAGAAACUAUAGUACAACAACAGUUCACUAGCGUGUGAAUUUUUUAACACAUUCCACAAAUCUAUAGAAGUCACACAUGCCACAACAAAAUCGAGAACACGGACCAUACAGACCUCGUGAUAUACCAUCAAACUUCUUAGGUCCAAACUCUGUGUGAUAUACCAUCCUCGCCGCCGGCCAGACAAACUGCUCGCUCAGGGCAGAAAAUAGAGCGACGUUUCAGCACGAACAGAGGAACACAUAGGUUUCACGCUACCAAUGUCAAAUAAAAAAUGUUUUAUUUUUGUCCUUUUCCAACUGAGUAAUGGCCACACAUGCACAACACCCUUAUUACAUGGUCAGGGCCAACUCGACUCUAUUAGCUUUUGGUUACAAAGCAAAUUGUGUAACACUUACUAGAAUAUACACCAACACCAUUAGGUUUCCUCAAUUAUUCUACUCAUUCUAAUCACUGAAAAAAUCAUGAAUUUGUACAACACUUACUAGAAUAUGGGAUCUAUCAUCUGCAAAAGAGAGAGAUGCAUGUUGCGGGGAGGAGAAGAAAGACCUUCUCGCUCUCGAGGUGAGGGGGAGGUGCAGCUAAUGUGGGGCUGGAGGUCCAUGGUGUAUUGGACCAUGGAGCCGGACAGCCGUUGGUCCGUCUUCUCCACCUCGUCAGGUCUGCAAAAUCAUCAACUGGUUUCUAUAUUUUUGACAUUUUGUAAAAUGCAAAACUAAGUCUAUUGAGUUUAGAUGUUGACGGAUGAUUUUCGAAAGAAAUACUUGGUAGUAAGCACUCCAAAAUUUCUCUUAAGCAUACACUACUUGGACCUUAUUAUACGGUCUAGAUUCAGUCAAAUAAUUAAAUCAUCAUAUGCUUGUUUGUUCCAAGGCCAGAAAACAUAUGCUGAUAUGCACAAGAAAGCACACGAAAACAGACACCAACUCUUGUCUACAGUUUCAUAAACAAAUCAGAAAAGAUAAAUCAGAUCUGGUCCAUCAUUUUUGUUUCAAGAGUUAUGUGUUGGUUUUAUAAUUUUUCCUAGAACACGUGUAAUGCUGAAUUAAGGACUUACUACACUAGUACACCAAAGCCAUAUGAACUUCAGUAUAGUGAACUCAAAUGUAUGUCUGUAGUCAAGCAUAGCAGGCUGUAAACACUAUUUUUUCACAUUUUCAUGUAGUGUUGCCAUAAACUUAAGCAGGUAUGGCAAGUAAAGAUGCACCUGCUCACAUAAUGGUGUAUUGAAUACUCUUUGUUUCCCAAAUCGUUCAUCUAGCCUUCUUGUGCAGCGAAAGACGCCGCCAAAACCCACAUCCUCUCCAAAGACAUAAGAGCUGUCAAAAUGGAACUCAUCUUCAGUUCACUGGAUUGUGUGUAUAACUAAGUCAAAUGGAUCGGUGAGCUGGGAAUGUUCAUAUAAGCAUAUAUAAGUCAUUUCUUUCUCAUACACUAGCUAGCUUACAAAACGAUAAGCAUAUAUAACUGAACACAUAUAUUUAUUUUUUUCUCUAAUUUUAAGAGUGUGUAUUCUACUCGGAACACUAGCAUAUUGACAUGGUGUACAACGGAAAUUAGCGUCGAUAGCCGGACAUAUUAUUUACAGCGAAAAGAAAUGUCAAACAUAUGGAGUGUUGUUCAUGCAAGUAGAUAACGUCAAUGGCUGCAUCGGAAGUCGAUUAUAUCCAGGAUGGGGAAUUUCAGAAUCAGCAUCGGAACCAGCCUGACUGAACUAGUCGUGGAACAUCUAAAGGCUUGUUUGGUAGGUUCAGAAUGUGUACCAGACUUACUAGGUAUAUCAAUUCCUCCCUGAAAAGAAACACCAUUCCUUGUCCCUUGGAUUCUUUACCAUUUCUUGUCAAACGAGAAAGAGAGAGAGAGAGANNNNNNNNNNNNNNNNNNNNNNNNNNNNNNNNNNNNNNNNNNNNNNNNNNNNNNNNNNNNNNNNNNNNNNNNNNNNNNNNNNNNNNNNNNNNNNNNNNNNNNNNNNNNNNNNNNNNNNNNNGAGAGAGAGAGAGAGAGCCCAUCCUAUGCAACGUACUGAUUAUGCAAAUAUGCAAAUAUGGAUCACAGGGGUAAAACAAGAUUAUGGUUUGCAGCAGCAGUUUUUGUUGGAAGGAACUGAAUUAGAUCACCUAAAUGAGUGAACUGGGCAGAUAACACAGGCAUCUCGCCUUGCAUUCAAGUAUGAAGGUGGGGGACCACGCCACACGGUACUGCAUCCUAGGUUUCUUUUGUGAGGUAUCCUAGAUUUCCAACCAAAAGGAGUUGCAUCUCCCUCGAGUCUGGCGGCUUGGGAUCUCACUACUUCGGCAAUAAUGCAUCCAUGGAGGGAGCUAGCUCGAGAGACGGCAGCUAGAACCCUAACGCCGUCGACUCCUGCUCCUCUCGGCGAUUCUAAUGGGGCGCCCGCGCAUCAGUCGGCCAUUUCAACCCAGACGGGAGCUUGUCCUACUGGAUCUGUGGAGAUUACCGGGAGAGGAGGGGUCUCACCACUCACCAGUCGGUCGGGCUACCGGUUCGGCAGAUGCUCCGCUAAUGACCGUGCGCCCGCCCGGUGCACGGACGCCGUGGACUUGCCUCGCCGGUCGACCGCCCCCCGCCACCGACGCCGCCAC
rnacentral:lncRNA from 1 species